rnacentral:rRNA from 1 species
AUUGAACGCUGGCGGCAGGCUUAACACAUGCAAGUCGAACGAGCGGCGGACGGGUGAGUAAUGUAUGGGGACUGCCCGAUAGAGGGGGAUAACUACUGGAAACGGUAGCUAAUACCGCAUACUAUCGGAUAACCCAUAUGGGAUUAGCUAGUUGGUGAGGUAAUGGCUCACCAAGGCGACGAUCCCUAGCUGGUCUGAGAGGAUGAUCAGCCACACUGGGACUGAGACACGGCCCAGACUCCUACGGAGGCAGCAGUGGGGAAUAUUGCACAAUGGGCGCAAGCCUGAUGCAGCCAUGCCGCGUGUAUGAAGAAGGCCUUCGGGUUGUAAAGCACUUUCAGCGAGGAGGCGUUACUCGCAGAAGAAGCACCGGCUAACUCCGUGCCAGCCGCCGCGGUAAUAC